UCCCUCGACCCUGACCACCCACUCUCUCUCUCUCCUCUCUCUCUCUCUCUCUCUAGAUUCUACUAUAGUAUGUGGUGGCCACCGGUACUGUUUCAUAUGCCCCUUAGACACCUGUUUUUCCCCAAAGUACAUCAAGUACUCAAUGCCCUUUAAUCAUACCCACUCAGAGAAUUAUGAUCUUCUAACAACCAUGUCAAAAUUGUGAAACAAGAUGAUUUUGAUCCAGAUAAAUAAACAAAAUUAAGGUAUGUUUUUUUAAUUUGUAACCUACUUCAGUGAGACUGUUGCUAUAUUUAAUUUCUUGUGUGUUGAUCUUAUUUUUCUUUACAUCACAUCACUUUGACUACUGAGUUUCUCAUGUGUAGUGUCAUAUGAUGUCUGUUUUUUGUUCUCUUUCAACAUUUCUUUGUUAUUAUUUUUCAUACUGUUUAUUGUUGUUUUUUUUUUCAUUUUGAUUUGAUCUUAAAAGCUCAAACAAAUCAAAAUAUAAUGUUUGGUUUUGUUGAUCAUUAGGUACUCUCUAGGGUUUUUACCAAAUAUUUUCCUUCUAUGUGUUUGAAGUCAAUUUAAUAAUCUAAUUCUUUAAAGAAAUCCAAAUGCGUAACCUAAACCUAAGCUAUACUUUUUUUUGUGAUUAACUAUUUCGUUAAUAAUCUAAUUCUUUAAAGAAAUCCAAAUGUGGAACCUAAACCUAAGCUAUACUUUUCUUUUUUGUGAUCAACUAUUUUGUAGUUUAAGUAAUCGACUUAAUUGUAAGGGCUUUUAUAAUUGCAUAACAGAUCUUCAUUGAAUCACAUCAAAGAUUAAAAUUGGAUUAUUUUUAAUAAUUCUAAGUUUCACCUGUUGGCCGGUAAUAAUCACAACUUGUAAGAAUUUUGCCCCAUUGAUUCUUUUCCAACAUAGGUAAGGAGUUUGCACACGCACUUAAAUCUAUUGAGGAGAGCAAAUUCUUAUAUGUUAGAAAAUGAUCGAUGGAGGCCAAAUUCUUACUUGUGAUCGUUGAAGGGAAUUUUUAAUGGUAAAUUACAUUUUUCUUCUUUUAUGUUUGUAUCGAAUUGCAAUGGAUGAUCUUUAACUUCAAUAAUUACGGUCACAAUCCUUUAUUUGUAAACACGUUACGCCCUACGUCCUUUAACAUUAACCAUGUUGAAAAUUUCAGUUAUAUAUGACAUGUGCAAGGCACAUAAUGGUAUUUCUGUAAUUUUUCAUAUAUACAUUUAAAACAAAAGCUCACUCUCUUCCUCGUAACACACACUCUCUCUCUCUCAGCACACACACUUUCUAUCUCUGCUUCUCUUUUAGUUCAAAAUUAAAGAAUCUCACCACCACUCUCAACCAUCACAACACCGCCAUUGUCCACCUCUUCUCUCUCACCACCAUCGGCGGUUUCUGAGGCACACUAUCAUCAACAUCGUCUUCAUCAAACCCUAGCCUCUAAAUCGUUGGAAUGAGAUAGACCUACAAUGCCGGAGAAGUCGUCGGAGACUAUCCGUAGCUCCGACAUCAACGCUGGAAGCAUCCGCCUUGCAACUGACCUUUGGCCGGAGAAAAAAAAGUCGGCAACGACAAGCUGCUAGGCGGUGGAGAAGGAGUAAACACAAAAGAACCUGAAAACUCAUCAACAAUAUUGUCACAAUUGUUCAUCGAUGAUGAUAAAACCCUAGGUGUCACAUCUUCCUUCAUAUUUGGUCCGAUCACAUCAUUAUUCAACAUUCCGUCGUGUUUUCCGGCGGUGACGCUUUCUUUUUCUUCGCAAUAACCGUCGGAACCAUCGGCGGAGCAAGAUCUACAACCUCUCUCUUUGAAUCCUUCUUCUGAUUCUUCGUUUUUUUCGGCGUUAGACAUUGAUCUUUCUGUAUUUUAAGGGUGUUUUUUUUAUGAAUCUGCAUUCUAAUUGUUGCGUUUGAGUUUAGAACUUUAGUGAAUGAUAUUAUUGUUUAUGAUUUUGUGUUAUAGCUUUUAGAUGGAAAUGGUGGUGUGUGUGAUGCAUCUGAUUUUGUGUUUUAUUUUUAAAUUUAUUUUAGAUAAACGAGUAAAAUUACAAAAAUACCCUCAUGUGCCUUUCACAUGUCAUAUUUAACUGAAAUUUUCAAUAUGGUUAGUGCUAAUUGACGUAGGGUGUAAUAGGUUUUACAAAUAAAGGAUUGUGGCUGUAAUUAUUGAAGUUAAAGUUUAUCCAUUGCAAUUCGAUACAAACAUAAAGGACGAAAAAUGUAAUUUACCCAAUUUUUAAAGUUGGGAUUAUUGUCGGCCAACACGUGAAACCUAGGAUUAUUAAAAUCCAAUAACCCAUUAAAAUUUGAUUUUAUGUAGUUUGUGUUUGGUGUUUUAAAAUGCUAUUGAAUUUAUGACAUCAUUCGGAGUUGAGCCUGGGGAACUCAUGGGGAAGGCCAGCCCCGGACAAGAACACGACACCCGGUUUUGGGGGACUAUUUUUACACGGAAACACGGUGAGAUGACACCAAUCAUUGGGAGUGAAGGUGGGUGUGUUCAACGAUCAUAUGACAGAUACUUUAAUGAAAAUAAUUGUGUUGUAUUCAACCCUUCAAAUGCAUACCAUUUUAGUGAAAUGUUUUAUUGUUUUAAUUAUGUUUUUUUUCUAAUCUAGUAUUGUUUCUUGCUGUUAAGUUUAAUGCAGUUUUAAUAUGUUAUUUGUAGUUUUCAUUGUUAUAUGUUAUUUUAUACCUUUAAAAAUUAAUUAAAACAUCUUAAAUAUAUAAAUUUAAUUUAAAUUAAAAUAAUUAACUUUUGGGAAAUCUGGAACGACACUAUGCAAUCUGGGGAAGUAUGAGAAUAGUAAGGAGAAAACUGAUAUGUUGCUGACGUAUCACCCGGGAAAAAUAGGGAAAACAGGACAAUUCUCUAUGCCCUUAUAGAUGGUAAUUUAUACCAACUUACAUUGCCACUGAAGCUGUUUGUUUUUUUUUGUUUUUUUUUUGUUUGUUAUGGACUGUAAUUUACAUUAGCUUACAUUCGCCAAUAGAUUGCUAACUAGAUAAACCGUUAUUUGUGAUCGGAAUAUGGCUUUUAAGAUCUUCUAGUAGGAAACCGGUGGAGGCAAGAUUCAAACCCGAGACUUGUUCUAGAGGUUGUGUUACAUCUGUAUCAAUAAACUGUAAGGCUCACCUGCUAUUAUACAUUGAAGCAAUCAACAGUGUGAUAAGCUCUACUACUUUUAAUAACUUAUGCAGUUUUGUGUUUCCAAAUGCUGGAAGUUUCUACUACAUGGAGACCCAUUGAUUGUGCUAUACUUUAUUGGCUUUUUGAUCUUCAAGAUUAUAUCUGUUCCAUUUUAAUCAAACAUUUUGGUUGGAGUGUGCAUUCAAAGUUAAUCAGCAAUCUUGUUUUUUGUGUUAUAUGUAUUUUUUUCUAUUUAUAGCUCUAGUAAAAAUGUCUUUUAUCUA